rfam:Clostridium sp. ASF502 genomic scaffold acMal-supercont1.9, whole genome shotgun sequence.
UGAAUUCUUCGGGGUCGGGUGCAAUUCCCAACCGGCGGUAUAGUCCGCGACCCGCUUCGGCGGCUGAACUGGUGACUCUCAUAUACAGAGGGGAUUCCAGUACCGACAGUAAAGUCUGGAUGAGAGAAGAAAUUU